UACGUAGGGACCGAGCGUUGUCCGGAAUCAUUGGGCGUAAAGAGCGUGUAGGCGGCUAUUUAAGUCCUGCGUGAAAUCCUGCGGCUCAACCGCAGACGGUCGUGGAAACUGGAUGGCUAGAGUGCGGGAGAGGAGAGUGGAAUUCCCGGUGUAGCGGUGAAAUGCGCAGAUAUCGGGAAGAACACCCGUGGCGAAGGCAGCUCGCUGGAACGGUACUGACGCUGAGGCGCGAAAGCGUGGGGAGCGAACAGG
rnacentral:rRNA from 1 species